AUUGAACGCUGGCGGCAUGCCUUACACAUGCAAGUCGAACGGCAGCGGGGGAGAAGCUUGCUUUUCCUGCCGGCGAGUGGCGAACGGGUGAGUAAUACAUCGGAACGUGCCCUGUAGUGGGGGAUAACUAGUCGAAAGAUUAGCUCAUACCGCAUACGAUCUGAGGGAGAAGGUGGGGGACCGCAAGGCCUCAUGCUAUAGGAGCGGCCGAUGUCUGAUUAGCUAGUUGGUGGGGUAAAGGCCUACCAAGGCGACGAUCAGUAGCUGGUCUGAGAGGGCGAUGAGCCACACUGGGACUGUGACACGGCCUAGACGGGUACGGGAGGGAGCGGUGGGGAAUUUUGGACAAUGGGCGACAGCUUGUGCCUGCAAUGCCGCGUGUGUGAGGAAGGCCUUCGGGAUGUAAAGCACUUGUGUACGGAAAGAAAUGGCUCUGGUUAAUACCUGGAGUCGAUGACGGGACCGGAAUAAUGAGGACCGGCUAACUACGUGCCCGCCGCCGCAGUAA
rnacentral:rRNA from 1 species